GAUGAACGCUGGCGGCGUGCCUAAUACAUGCAAGUCGAGCGAACGGACGAUAAGCUUGUGUCGCGGAUGUUAGCGGAGGACGUGUGUGUAACGCGUGUAUAAUGCACUUAUAAUACGGAUAUAAUCUCGGAAAACGGGAUCAAACAGCGUAUAAGAUCCUGAAGCGUAGUGGGCGAUGGUGAAAUUCGGUGUUGGGGGCUGGACUAGAUGGUUCCGGGCUUGAUUAGGUGGUUGUUAAGGUAACGGGUUACCAAGGCAACGAUGCGUAGCCGAAGUGAGAGACUGGUCGGCCACCCUGGAGCUUAGCCACGGUCCAGACGACUGCGGGAGGCAGCAGAAGCGAAUGUUACGCAAUGGGCGAAAGCAUGACGGAGCAACGCCGAGUGAGAGAUGACGGUCUUCGGAUCGUAAAGCUCUGUUAUUAGGGAAGAACAUAUGUGUACGUAACUGUGCACAGCUUGACGGUACCUAAUCAGAAAGCACCGGCUAACUACGUG
rnacentral:rRNA from 1 species